rnacentral:rRNA from 1 species
UACGAAGGGGACUAGCGUUGUUCGGAAUCACUGGGCGUAAAGCGCACGUAGGCGGAUUUGUAAGUCAGGGGUGAAAUCCCGGGGCUCAACCUCGGAACUGCCUUUGAUACUGCGAGUCUUGAGUCCGAUAGAGGUGGGUGGAAUUCCUAGUGUAGAGGUGAAAAUUCGUAGAUAUUAGGAAGAACACCAGUGGCGAAGGCGGCCCACUGGAUCGGUACUGACGCUGAGGUGCGAAAGCGUGGGGAGCAAACAGGAUUGAGAUACCC